AUGGCAUGUUAAUGGGGUGAUGGGCCUCAUUGAUGGGCUCAACAACCUCGUUAACUAGCUUGUUGUCUGUAAGAUUGUUGGUUAGCCUAGAGGAGGAGGUGAAUAGGCCUGUUAAAACAAAACUUGAGAACUGUUGUCAAAUUCUAUGCGGCACUGCCGCUCUGAGCAACACUACAGCUCACACAGACACAAAUACACCUUGGUUCAAAAUCUACACAACAAAAUUUAGAUCAGAAAAAUUCCUUAGCUUCUUGGGGUAGAGUAGAGUAGAGCUUGGGUUUCACAGAACCCUAUCCUCGUUCUCAAGCCAAGAGAGUAAACUCUUGAGAUGAUGGGUGGUUUCACUUGAUGAUUGGGGUGACUACAAACCUCAUGGGGCUGCCACACAAGUUGACAAGCUCCAUGGGUGAUGCUCUAGCCGGCUAGGAGCAAGCUCCAAGAGUAAUAGAUGCAAUAACGCGAACCAUGUGCUCUAGGAGCUGAAGAUCUAUUGGAGCAGCUCCUAGUUGAAGUUUGGAGGCUAAAUUGUUCUCUCAAAGAUUUAUAAAGGAAUAAAGGGAGAGAAGCUUGGGAGCCUUGCAAUGGAGAGGAGAGCUGCUUUGGUUGCUGAGUCGUGGAAAUGGGC
rnacentral:lncRNA from 1 species